UACGUAGGGUGCAAGCGUUGUCCGGAAUUAUUGGGCGUAAAGAGCUCGUAGGCGGUCUGUCGCGUCUGCUGUGAAAACUCAGGGCUUAACCCUGAGCUUGCAGUGGGGUACGGGCAGACUAGAGUGCGGUAGGGGAGACUGGAAUUCCGUGGUGUAGCGGUGAAAUGCGCAGAUAUCAGGAGGAACACCGGUGGCGGAAGGCGGGUCUCUGGGCCGGUAAC
rnacentral:rRNA from 1 species